rnacentral:rRNA from 1 species
UACGGGGGGGCAAGCGUUGUUCGGAAUUACUGGGCGUAAAGGGCUCGUAGGCGGCCAACUAAGUCAGACGUGAAAUCCCUCGGCUUAACCGGGGAACUGCGUCUGAUACUGGAUGGCUUGAGUUUGGGAGAGGGAUGCGGGAAUUCCAGGUGUAGCGGUGAAAUGCGUAGGAUAUCUGGAGGAACACCGGUGGCGAAGGCGGCAAUCCUGGACCAACACUGACGCUGAGUGAGCGAAAGCCAGGGGAGCAAAGCGGGA